rnacentral:rRNA from 1 species
UACGUAGGGGGCAAGCGUUGUCCGGAUUUAUUGGGCGUAAAGAGCGUGUAGGCGGCCAUGCAGGUCCGUUGUGAAAACUCGAGGCUCAACCUCGAGACGUCGGUUGAAACCGUUUGGCUAGAGUCCGGAAGAGGAGAGUGGAAUUCCCGGGUGUAGCGGUGAAAUGCGCAGAUAUCGGGAAGAACACCCGUGGCGAAGGCGGCUCUCUGGGACGGUACUGACGCUGAGACGCGAAAGCGUGGGGAGCGAACAGG